UGCCAGCCGCCGCGGUAAGACAGAGGGUGCAAACGUUGUUCGGAAUUACUGGGCGUAAAGCGCGUGUAGGCUGUUGCGUAAGUCGGGCGUGAAAGCCCUGGGCUCAACCCAGGAAGUGCACCCGAAACUACGUGACUAGAGUCCCGGAGAGGGAAGCGGAAUUCUCGGUGUAGAGGUGAAAUUCGUAGAUAUCGAGAGGAACACCAGCGGCGAAGGCGGCUUCCUGGACGGUGACUGACGCUGAGACGCGAAAGCGUGGGGAGCAAACAGGAUUAGAUA
rnacentral:rRNA from 1 species